rnacentral:rRNA from 1 species
AGUGAACGCUGGCGGUAGGCCUAACACAUGCAAGUCGAACGGCAGCACAGUAAGAGCUUGCUCUUACGGGUGGCGAGUGGCGGACGGGUGAGGCAUACAUCGGAAUCUACUUUUUCGUGGGGGAUAACGUAGGGAAACUUACGCUAAUACCGCAUACGACCUACGGGUGAAAGCAGGGGAUCUUCGGACCUUUCGCGAUUGAAUGAGCCGAUGUCGGAUUAGCUAGUUGGCGGGGUAAAGGCCCACCAAGGCGACGAUCCGUAGCUGGUCUGAGAGGAUGAUCAGCCACACUGGAACUGAGACACGGUCCAGACUCCUACGGGAGGCAGCAGUGGGGAAUAUUGGACAAUGGGCGCAAGCCUGAUCCAGCCAUACCGCGUGGGUGAAGAAGGCCUUCGGGUUGUAAAGCCCUUUUGUUGGGAAAGAAAAGCAGCAGGUUAAAACCCCGCUGUUCUGACGGUACCCAAAGAAUAAGCACCGGCUAACUUCGUG